rnacentral:tRNA from 1 species
GGGGCUGUAGCUCAUUUGGUAGAGCGCUGCAUUCGCAUUGCAGAGGUGGGGGUUCGAAUCCCCAGCUCCACCA